AACGGAGCUCUCAGCUCAGUCAAGCAGUCUUUCACGCGUGCAAUGUUCUGUCCAGAAGGACUAACGACUCCAUUUAGGGUUUAAACCAACUACUUUGUCCAUCUAAAGGUGACACUGAACCAGUUCAACAGAGGCCCACCACUUUGAUUCUAUUUUGAAGGUGCCCAUGAUGAAAAGGCCUUUUACACCGUAUGAAGUGGACCUGUAAACGUGGUACUUUUUUCUGUGGAAAUCGUAAGUGCAUCAUUGAACCUUAUCAAAGCAAUCACAGACAUUACGGCAGAACUUGCCCUUUGCCCUUCAUUUACAAUUACUGCUCACAGUAUUUCAGAUCCAAACAAUCCUUGCAUGUCCAUCUGAGAGAUCAUGGACUCAAUGAAAACACUAACGGACUAAUAAGCUUUAAGCCUGGUAUUUGGAGCACCUUCAUUGUUACGAAUUCUGCAAGAAAGAUCCAGAUCAACUGAUGGCCACUGAACCCAGUGAACUGAACCACUACCUUCCACUGUCAUCCUACGCUGUCCAAGGCCGACUGGUGAUUUCUCCAAAGGUGUUUCUUGUACAUUGAGACAACCUUGUAAUGUAGCAAGUUGGUGAAAUGAUGGACAUCACAUUCCCCCUACGAAGAAAAGAAAUAGUUGAAAAUCAACCUCUUGCGGCUGAAGUCAAAGAAAGGUGGCCAGCCCUGUUCAAAGAACAGCAGAUUGAAGCAGAGUUUGCUCGGCUGACAUCUGUUGACCUCAAGAAGUCUUUCUUCAGUGGACUGGAUCAGCAUUUGCCAAGGUUCCUGGAGCUGUUCAAGGCCAAGAGUGGGAAAUCAGCUGGACUAAGCAGGCAGCUUAAAUGUCUUGAUGACGUAAGCAAAUAAAUGUUCACAUAUUUUUGUUAGUAUUAGUAACAUUUCCUUUGGAGAUUAUUUACAGUUUUACCGGUUUUCAGUAUUUAACAGUAUUUUCUAUUUUCUAAUACAGAGAAGAAGAAAAUUAUGUUAACAUUUUGUUGGGUUAUUGUCUUUGGGUGAAUAGAAUUCAGUCAUGCCUUUUAGGAAAUCCAUCAAAUUGAAAUUAUCUUUGAAACAAUCUGCCUGUGUAAAUUUAGCAAAAAAAAAAAAAGCAUGUUUCUACACAAAAUUACCACAACCCCAGUAGCUUUCCUAUAGUGAUAGGUCAGAGCUGGAAAAACUUAUCAGAAAAAUUCUAUUCCAAAAGCUAUAGUAUUUAGAAUAAAAAAAAAUGGCUAAAGGCUGCCAAAUCCCCCCUCCCAAUAAAACAAAAACAGAAAAACUGUCAGUCAAAACAAAUUCUGUAGCAGACUUCUAUUGCAGUACAGGUUUGUAAGAAGAAUUUGAAGUGAAAAUGUCCAACUAAUCAAUUGAGUAUAGAAAACAGAAUAAAAGAAUCAGGAUAUCAAUAAUUUGUUAUUCUCUUUAUAAUUAGUUGUUUUGUCUUUGUUUUUUCUCAGUCCUCUAUGCUGAGGCAGAGGUCAGUUGUUCUUCCGGUGCCUUCUGUAUAUUCUCAAGGAUGAUCCUUCAAAUGCAUUCAAGACUGUUCAGGCCAUUGACGAGGAAGCCACAUUCACUCGGGGAAUGCAAGUUGGAGUUCUGCUGGUGAAAGAUGGAGAGGACAUCAUUGCCACAUCAGUCAUUCUUGAGGAACAAGUGGUCCUGCCUGAUGUGGAGGACAUUCCUCAUGCCAUUGCUCUACUGAUGGGUCUGCUUUUUGCCUUUAAUAUAGACUAUCCAAAGGAACUCAGGUACACAUUUGAAGUUUUUCAAAAGGUCCUGAUGAACAUCGGCGGAGGUCAGUGUUCCUCCCUUGUGCAUGGUUUGAGAAACAGACUGUUACAAAAAACCAUGUAGAUUCUCCUGAAAUGUCUCAUCUCAUGACUCAUGGAUGUCUGAGCUUUUUGAAAGCAUUCAACGUUUCCUGUUAAACAUUGUUCCAAAGGUCAUAUAGAAGUUUGGCACAUGGUUUGGAAUUCUUGUUUUGUUAUUUCAUCUGUUUAGGUUUAUUCCAUCAGAAAAUAUAGUCAUAUUGGUUCAAAGCCAAUCAAAUGCAUAGGUUGAUAAAAAGUAUUGCAAUAAAGAGGUCAACAUAAGACCAAACGAUAGAUGACAAGAUUAAAAUGUGCACUAUUUGUUUAGAACUACUAUUUUGAAUAGUAUCAUUUUGAAUUUUAUUUUAUUGUUUUUAUUUGUGCAAGGUUUUGUCAGAUGCUUUAAAAGUUUAUGCACUUGAGUUAAUGUGCAAUGACUUGUCUCAUUUAAGACACUAAAUAUGUUCUAACUAUAAGACCUUGAUAAGCUGCUGUGUUAAUGUUUUUUUUGAGUGCAGACUGUUCUAAAACGUUUUCACUAUUCAUUACAAAACAAAACAGCUUCAGUAAAUGUUGCAGAGCUGUAACUUCAUUACUGCUAAAUAAAUAAAAAAACUAGCUGAGUUGAUGAA